rnacentral:rRNA from 1 species
CACAAAAACAANCAACCUUGACCUCAAAUCGGGUGAGACAUACCCGAUGAACUUAAGCAUAU